ACCACCUCUUCCGUCCCGUUCCGUUUCUCCUUCCCCCUCCCAUCUCCAAACAAAUCCCCAGCGCACAAGCACGGAGCGUCUCCACCCACACCCCGCCCCGCCGCGAAUUCCGAGGCGCCCCUCCGAUCCGCCCUCCCUGCCGCGUCCCUGGAAUACUCUCGAGUAGAGAUAGCAUCAGUGGUUUCCCCGGCUUCUCGGCAGUCCGCAUCCAUCCGCCGCCGCUCUCUCCUCCGCUCGCCCUCGCUCGGCGCAUCCUCCUCCCCAAGCCCAGCGCGAGCACCAGCUCCUCGGGGACAGCCGCAUCCUCCGGCGCAUCUCCUCCGCGACGGAUCCUGCAGCAACUUCAUCUCCUCGUCCUCCGCGACCGUACCGGCGAGCUUUCUCAUCCUCCACGUCAGCAAGCUUGUCCAGUUCUUCUCCCUUCCUCUGAACGACCUACGUUCUCUGGUCGCUGCGCGAAUCCGGAAGAUGUUUAUGCGCCUGGACCUUUCUUGCAGCGGUUGCCGACAGCCCCGUCUUCUUGACGGAGUUUACCAGUGCACAUUGACCGCAGGGUCUUUGGAUGAAGCAUGUGGCCAGCUACUGUGCUAUUCAUGCUCAAGAGCACACUCAUUUAUGACAUCUCAUCCGUGCUUCCGAGUAGUUGGCCUGGAUAGCAGAAUCAUGGCCGGUGUGAUUGAUUGCCCUUAUCGCUGUGGUACAAAUUUAACUCCAGCUAACUACAUGAGACAUACCCGGUCUUGCAAUCUCAGGGAACUCAUGUGUCCGAUGGCUAUGUGCAGACAGAAACCGUUUUUCUGGAAUACGCUGGCUACUCAUUUGAUAAACCAUCAUGAGUUUUUUUAUGAGAAUAUAACUUAUGAAGGUUACAAAGAAGAUAUCCCCUUGAUCCAUUGUGGAACAGGCGUUGUUCUAGAGGGUCAAGAGGAAUACUUUGUUUUCUUCAUUACAGAAACAGGCCUAUACUUCAUUUGGCUCGGUGAUACUGAGGCUAAACCUGAUCUUCCAAGUUUCUUGCUCAAGGUGUUCUUAUAUCAGGCUGGUCCGGAUGGGCGACCACGGGAGGAACUUGGGCACUACUUAGGUCCACAUCCAGCUAGGAUUAUGGACGUUAUUCACCUCUGUGUGUUCCCAAAUAUCGCCAAUAUCUAUAUUACACAACAAAGCUUCUACUUGCGGGUGUUGAUAGAGGAUAGAGCCUGAGGCCUGAUGGAUUAUUGAACUCUAGUUGGUUGUGAGGAUGUUUUGUGGUGCGUGUGCUAAUGGACUAUGAUGGACUAUUAUGUUUGUGUAAUUUGAACAACAAUGUUGUGUAAUUUAUUGAAACCUACUAAUCUACUAUGUCUGUACGAUUAGUACCUUUGUGUAAAUUUCUUGCUAGUUAAUUACGAAGCUUGGGCUUUUGUUUG